UGGGGAAUAUUGGACAAUGGGCGGAAGCCUGAUCCAGCAAUUCCGCGUGGGUGAAGAAGGUCUUCGGAUUGUAAAGCCCUUUCGACAGGGACGAUGAUGACGGUACCUGUAGAAGAAGCCCCGGCUAACUUCGUGCCAGCAGCCGCGGUAAUACGAAGGGGGCUAGCGUUGCUCGGAAUUACUGGGCGUAAAGGGCGCGUAGGCGGCGCAGUUAGUCAGGCGUGAAAUUCCUGGGCUCAACCUGGGGACUGCGCUUGAUACGGCUGUGCUAGAGGAUGGAAGAGGCUCGCGGAAUUCCCAGUGUAGAGGUGAAAUUCGUAGAUAUUGGGAAGAACACCGGUGGCGAAGGCGGCGAGCUGGUCCAUUACUGACGCUGAGGCGCGACAGCGUGGGGAGCAAACAGG
rnacentral:rRNA from 3 species